AAAUAAAAAAUUAAAUUAAAUAAUUUUUUAAUUUAAAUUAUUUGUUUAAUUUAAAUAAUUUUUUAAUUUUAUUUGUUUGAAUUUAGCAGGUCAAUUUUGCUCAGCCAAGCCCGGUGUCCUCUGACGUUUUUAUUUUUUAUUUUUUAUUUUUUUUUUAGAGAGAUAGGUAACACGCUACCUGUUUCGUUUAUUUUAUUUAGAAAUAAACUUAGCUAGAAAUGUGAAUCAAUUAGGAUUCGAAUUUGGGUUUCGGGUACCAACCACCAAAUUCUUUGCCACUUAUUUUAGAAACGGUCGGUGUGUCCUCUGACGGUUGAAACUCCAAAUCAGACGAUCGGUGACUUUAUAUUAGACUCGCAGAAAGCAAAGUCACAAAUAUUCAAUCAUAUAUGAACUUACAAUUUUAUGCCAUGAUCUGCAUGAGUGGCUGUGCAGUAAGAGUAUGAAAUAUUCGGAUCUCCGCCUAGUUCAAAUUCUAUAUCUUAUUUCGUUGAUAUAUCUUACAUUAUUACUAGUAUUUUGUUAGUUCUAUAUAUAAGGCGUGUUUGGUUCGUCUCUUUUUCACCCUAAAAUCAGAAUCGGAAUGCACAAAUACGUUAGUCCGUAUUUGCUAUGCGGAAUUUUCAUUCCGAUUCUGAUUCUUUGGUGAAUGAAAAUUCCUUCAAUUAUCCGUUCUUUCAAUCUGGUCUAGGAAGCUAUAUUAGAAAUUGAAUCCUGACGGAAUAAAUUUGUUCGGAUUAAAUUUAUUUUUUUUAAGUUUACUUUUUAAUUAAAAUAUAAGUUUAAGUUUAAAAUUUAUAUUUAUAAAUUUUAAUUUUAAUUUUAACUUAAAUUAAAAUUAAAAUUCAAUAAAUCAUUUCAAAUCUAAUUUAUAAAUUUGAAUUUAAAUUUAAAUGUAAUUUAAAAUCCAAAGUUUUAUUCAAAUUUUAUUUAAAAUUUAAAUUAAAUUUAGAGAUUCAAAUUGAAAUUGAAAUUAUAAUUUUUAAGUUUGAAUUUGAAUAAAUCGAAAUUUAGUUUUAUAUUUUGAAUUAUCCAUUCAAUUUCAAAUUUUAUUUUUUUUAAAAAAUAUACUCAAAAUUUUGAAAUAAUUUAAAAUUUUCACGUAAAUUUUUAAUAUUUAAUUUUCAGUUUGAAUUUAAACUAAUAUAUUAGAAAUAUAAAAUUGGCAUAUUAAUUUGAUUAUGUUUCUAAUAUUUAUUUGAACCAAACGCUGAUAAUAAGAAUAAUUUAUUCUGAUUUCGAUUCAAAUGGUGAAUCAAAUAAAAUAAGAUAAUAAAUCAUUCUGAUUCCUUUUCUUGCUUAUUCCGAUUCCGAUUCCAACUU
rnacentral:lncRNA from 1 species